rnacentral:lncRNA from 1 species
UUUUCUAGAUAUUUAGCAUUCACCAUUUUGGUUGAGGUUACAUAUAUAUGAUUAUGAUCCCAAAGUUUUUUUUCUAUUUGCAGAAACCAUCAACAAUUAAGCUGGUGGACAUUACCUUCAGGAAUAUUAGAGGAACAUCAGGGAACAAGGACGCAGUAAAACUAUUGUGCAGCAAGGGACAUCCAUGUGAGAACGUUGAGAUUGGAGACAUUAACAUUGAGUACACAGGACCUGACGGUCCACCCACUUUCGAGUGCACAAACGUCACACCUAAGCUUGUGGGAACCCAGAACCCAAAGGCUUGCGUUGGACCUGUGGUCAAGGCUCCUGGCAAAGAGUAAAAUGUUGAAGCUCAUAUCAACACACUAGGGCUUCCACAUCCAAUUUUGUUUAUUCUUUUUCUAAUCCUUUUUCAAGUCACGUAAGGGAGACUUUUACAAAGCUGUAACAAAAAAAUGUUUCUAUCCGAUGCCAACACAUAUAUAGAUGUGUGAGUGCAUAAUGAUGUAAUUAAUAAAACUAAAUUAUAUAUUCUGCGUAUGAUUGUUUCUUUUUAAAAUAUUAAUAUGCGCGGUAAGUUGUAUACACUUCAAUCUUAAUUUUGUUUUCUUUUCCGAAUCUUAAAAUUAUUUAACAAGAUCUGAUUUCAACCUUAAGAUUAAUUUAACUAAUACAGUAUUAGUUUUUUUUUUUUGAGAACUCAUUUUAAACUAGAACUCAAAUCAUUUCAAUAAUAGUUCACUAACAUGUAGUAUUCUUUCCAAGUUAUACUGAACUAGAACUCAAAGAUACACUUGUUCAUACAUAACCGAUGCAAGCAUUUGGACAACGAAACAUGACAUCGUCAUAAGUAAUCUGAUUGGAAAUGUAAUUUUCAAUCAAACUUUCGCUCUUUGCUUAUGAUCUCUUUGGAAAAAAUUUCACUUGAUAAUAUGAGGUGCAUACUCUUCCUCUCUACUUUGGUUCAAUGCUCCUUAAACAUGUUGGAUACUUUUUUAGGCUUCAAUAUAAAAAAGAAGUUAGGAAAAAUUUAUUGAUAUUGUUAGUAAUAUUACUUCUAUGAUAUUGGUACUUCAAAAGAAGCAUGAGUUAUUAUAGAAACUAGGUUAAGAUCUCUGUUUUGCGCAUGAUGAAUUUUAUGUAUACAAAUGAUAUUUUUCUAUUUUUAUUAUUUAUUUUGUGUUUAUUUAUUUCAUAUUUAUAUAAUUAAAUUAGAGUAAACACAUAAAUCAAAACUAUACCUCCUUUUAUUUCUAAUUUUUUUCAUAAAUAAAUCAAUCGUUUUAUUUAUUUUAUAUGAAAUAUAAUUAAUUUGAAUGAUAAUGACAUAGAUAUCUAGUAAAAUUUAAUAUAACUUAUUAAUUGAGAUUUCCUACUCAUAUAAUCUUAUUAACAUUUGUAUAUAUUGCUGUAAAAAAAAUUAAACCAUUAAUUACAAAACUUUCAAUGUGAGAUUUAUUUCAAUACAAAAUUUUAAAUUGAAAUAUUAAGGUCUCAAUACUUUUAAAAUGUAAAUUUCAAAAUUAACGUAUUUAUGUAUUUUUAUAUGGUAUAUAGUUUAAUUUAAACGAUAUUAAGAUAUAUAUAUAUAUAUAUAUUUAAUAUGAAUAUCUAUUAAAUGAGACUUUAUAUUCAUACAAUUUUAUGAUCAUUUUGUAUCUUGUUAUAACAAAAAAAAGUAGUUAAACCAUUGAUUACAAAAUUUCAAUAUGGGCUUUUAACAUUUUUUAGUAAUUUAUAGUUUUUUAAAAUUCAUAAUAUAACAUAUAAGAAAGAGUCUAUAUUUUAAGUAUAUGGUUAAUGUGAUUGUAUAAUUUCUUUUAAUAAUAUAAAAUUAAAUAAAAUAGAUGGAGGUUACAAAAAUUGUUAUCAAAUCUUUAUUAUUCAUAAUCAUUAGUUUUCGUAUAUAUGUUAAUCAUAUUAGGUAAUUUCGUAACUUUUAUUUAGAGAAAUAAUGAAAAUAUUCUUUUGAACAUACAUUACUAAUCAAUUUGAUAGUUAGUUUAAUAAUAAGAUAUAAUAUAUGUUUCGAUAGACCAUCUAUUUUUUUAAGGAUCCUAAGCAUCAUUGUUGUAUUAAUACGUGGAUACAAAAAAAUGUUGCAAUGCUUUUCAAAUAUAUAAAUGAUUAUGUGGUUGAAAGAAAUUAGAAAAAUGCAAUGCAGUUAAGUAAUGAGGAACGAUUGAUUUUUGUUAUUAAAAGACGGAAGUCACGAACCACAUUAAUUAAAGUCAUCGAUUACUGACUGAUGACAACAUAUUUGACAAACAAUAAUAGAAGUUACAUAUAUUAACGCAUAAAGUUACAAAAUACAUAUACAUAUUUGACAAACAAUAAUAGAAGCGACGAAAUACAAACAAACACCUAAAACAAUUAAUUUUCAAAUACAGUCCAGGUUCUCCGAAAGUCGUUUGCUUUGAAAUGCUCUUUUUUAACUUAGUCAUAAACAUCUUCAUCUUUAUAACAUUAAUUAUUUCUUUUAUGAACUGGUUUGCCUUUUUUUCUUCAUGAUAUUGGGUUCAAUAGUUCCAACUUUUGCCUUUUGAAUUGUGUAAAUCUAUUUCACUAUUUGUUGACCAUUUGCAAUUCUUGCUUUUCUUUCAUCAUAUCAUUUUUUGUUGUAUACAUUUCCCUUGAAUGAUGACUAACUUAUACAAAAUUGGAAUCACUUGCAUCAUUUUCGUGGAUUCUUUUAAACCCACUUCUGCCUGACUACAAGAACAUAUUUAAUCACAGAUGAUGACGAGCCCCAUUCCAACAUGUUGAAAUGUAUAGUCUUGGCACUUGAACAUAGCUCAUGCGUUUUUUUUGUCAAUAUAUCAUUAUUCUCUGAUCAUCCAUUUUGUUACAUAGACUUUGCUAUUGUCAGUGCCAACCAUUAUUCCGAUAGUUUUUUCAUGUGGUGUAGUAAUUUUUCUAAACGAAGCAAUUACUGUUCUCUAACAAUUUUGAAAACCAACCAAUGCUAACGUCCAUAUAUAUUUUCCGCAGCCUGCACAACAGGAUUAUCAGAACGUAAAUCUCCUGAAUUUCUUUAAGUUCUAGUACCUUAUAAAAUUCUACUAACAAUUUGAUAUCUUUUUAGAUGGUGUAAAUGUAAUAACAUAAGUUGGCUAGAAACUAACCUCCCAAAAAUAGAGGUAUCAUGCAAAUGCUAUAAACACGAGUGGAACAAGUCUUAUGCCUAACAAUUGAACGCUAAUUUCCCAAAAUUAAAGUAACCUAGCUAAUACUUCCUUAAAAAUGGGUCAAACAUUCUAAAAAAUGAGAAGUUGGGAGAAAGUAUGGGCCUUCAACAUAUCUCUCCAUUUAACGCACUAUAUAAAGCAGCAGGUGCGUAGUAAAAAUCUCAGAAAACAAAAAUUAAAAGACAAUAAAAAAUAAAAAUAAAUAAAUAAAUAUGGGUUCAUAUUUGGGAAUCUAUACAAUUUUGGUUCUAUGUUUGCUAAAAUAAAAAUGGGUUCAUAUAUGGGAAUAUGUACAAUUUUUGUUCUAUGUUUGCUGGGAUAUUCAGCCAAUGCUGAGGUGUUCACCGCUGGUGGUCCUCCAAAUUCUGAUAUUACCGCGGUUAGUAUCUUCACUUGUUUUUUAUUACUUGAAUUCCAAUCAAUGUGUAAACCAUUUCUUAUAUUAACAUACUCGUGGGAGCUAUUGUUGCAGGCAGUUCUUAAAGCAUUCACAUCGGCAUGCCAAGCUCCGGCACCAAGCCAGGUGCUGAUCCCAAAAGGUGACUUCAAGCUUGGUGAGACCGUGAUGACUGGUCCAUGCAAAUCUCCAAUCGAGUUCACCUUGCAAGGCAACGUGAAAGCUGACGGUGGCUCUACCCAGGGAAAGGAUAGAUGGGUUGUGUUCGAAAAAAUUAAUGGUUUUAAGUUGAACGGAGGUGGAACAUUUGACGGUGAAGGCAAUGCAGCUUGGAAAGCCAACAACUGCCACAAGACUUUUGAGUGCAAGAAACUUCCCAUCGUAGGUGUUUCCGUCUUUAAUAUAUUAACACCAAUGGCUUUUUUUAAAGAUGAUAUAAUUCAGUGAUGCAUGCUAUCUUUCAGAGUGUAAGGUUUGAUUUUGUGGAUAACGCUGAGAUAAAAGACAUAACCUCAUUAGAUGCCAAAAACUUCCACUUCAACGUUAUCAGCGGCAAGAACAUGACCUUUGAUAACAUCAAGAUCAUCGCUCCAGCUGAAAGCCCCAACACUGACGGUAUCCAUUUGGGAAGAUGUGAGGGAGUCAAGAUCCUCAACACUAAGAUCGCCACAGGAGAUGACUGCAUCUCCGUGGGAGAUGGGAUGAAGAAUCUCCUCAUUGAGAAAGUUGUGUGCGGUCCAGGACACGGAAUCAGUGUUGGAAGCCUUGGAAGGUACGGAUGGGAGCAAGAUGUCACUGACAUUAACGUUAAGAACUGUACCCUUGAGGGAACCGACAACGGUCUGAGGAUCAAGACAUGGCCAUCUGCCGCUUGCACCACCACCGCUGCCGGUAUUCAUUUUGAGGAUAUCAUCCUUAACAAAGUUAGCAACCCAAUCCUCAUCGACCAGGAGUACUGCCCUUGGAACCAAUGCAACAAGAACGUAAGUAUCUUUUAUUAGAUUCUAUGUCUUGCCACUAUCACCGUAUUCUAUGAAAUUGGAUGGCUCAGCAAACAUAUUAUUCUGAUGGUUUUCUAGAUAUUUAGCAUUCACCAUUUUGGUUGAGGUUACAUAUAUAUGAUUAUGAUCCCAAAGUUUUUUUUUCUAUUUGCAGAAACCAUCAACAAUUAAGCUGGUGGACAUUACCUUCAGGAAUAUUAGAGGAACAUCAGGGAACAAGGACGCAGUAAAACUAUUGUGCAGCAAGGGACAUCCAUGUGAGAACGUUGAGAUUGGAGACAUUAACAUUGAGUACACAGGACCUGACGGUCCACCCACUUUCGAGUGCACAAACGUCACACCUAAGCUUGUGGGAACCCAGAACCCAAAGGCUUGCGUUGGACCUGUGGUCAAGGCUCCUGGCAAAGAGUAAAAUGUUGAAGCUCAUAUCAACACACUAGGGCUUCCACAUCCAAUUUUGUUUAUUCUUUUUCUAAUCCUUUUUCAAGUCACGUAAGGGAGACUUUUACAAAGCUGUAACAAAAAAAUGUUUCUAUCCGAUGCCAACACAUAUAUAGAUGUGUGAGUGCAUAAUGAUGUAAUUAAUAAAACUAAAUUAUAUAUUCUGCGUAUGAUUGUUUCUUUUUAAAAUAUUAAUAUGCGCGGUAAGUUGUAUACACUUCAAUCUUAAUUUUGUUUUCUUUUCCGAAUCUUAAAAUUAUUUAACAAGAUCUGAUUUCAACCUUAAGAUUAAUUUAACUAAUACAGUAUUAGUUUUUUUUUUUUUAGAACUCAUUUUAAACUAGAACUCAAAUCAUUUCAAUAAUAGUUCACUAACAUGUAGUAUUCUUUCCAAGUUAUACUGAACUAGAACUCAAAGAUACACUUGUUCAUACAUAACCGAUGCAAGCAUUUGGACAACGAAACAUGACAUCGUCAUAAGUAAUCUGAUUGGAAAUGUAAUUUUCAAUCAAACUUUCGCUCUUUGCUUAUGAUCUCUUUGGAAAAAAUUUCACUUGAUAAUAUGAGGUGCAUACUCUUCCUCUCUACUUUGGUUCAAUGCUCCUUAAACAUGUUGGAUACUUUUUUAGGCUUCAAUAUAAAAAAGAAGUUAGGAAAAAUUUAUUGAUAUUGUUAGUAAUAUUACUUCUAUGAUAUUGGUACUUCAAAAGAAGCAUGAGUUAUUAUAGAAACUAGGUUAAGAUCUCUGUUUUGCGCAUGAUGAAUUUUAUGUAUACAAAUGAUAUUUUUCUAUUUUUAUUAUUUAUUUUGUGUUUAUUUAUUUCAUAUUUAUAUAAUUAAAUUAGAGUAAACACAUAAAUCAAAACUAUACCUCCUUUUAUUUCUAAUUUUUUUCAUAAAUAAAUCAAUCGUUUUAUUUAUUUUAUAUGAAAUAUAAUUAAUUUGAAUGAUAAUGACAUAGAUAUCUAGUAAAAUUUAAUAUAACUUAUUAAUUGAGAUUUCCUACUCAUAUAAUCUUAUUAACAUUUGUAUAUAUUGCUGUAAAAAAAAUUAAACCAUUAAUUACAAAACUUUCAAUGUGAGAUUUAUUUCAAUACAAAAUUUUAAAUUGAAAUAUUAAGGUCUCAAUACUUUUAAAAUGUAAAUUUCAAAAUUAACGUAUUUAUGUAUUUUUAUAUGGUAUAUAGUUUAAUUUAAACGAUAUUAAGAUAUAUAUAUAUAUAUAUAUUUAAUAUGAAUAUCUAUUAAAUGAGACUUUAUAUUCAUACAAUUUUAUGAUCAUUUUGUAUCUUGUUAUAACAAAAAAAAGUAGUUAAACCAUUGAUUACAAAAUUUCAAUAUGGGCUUUUAACAUUUUUUAGUAAUUUAUAGUUUUUUAAAAUUCAUAAUAUAACAUAUAAGAAAGAGUCUAUAUUUUAAGUAUAUGGUUAAUGUGAUUGUAUAAUUUCUUUUAAUAAUAUAAAAUUAAAUAAAAUAGAUGGAGGUUACAAAAAUUGUUAUCAAAUCUUUAUUAUUCAUAAUCAUUAGUUUUCGUAUAUAUGUUAAUCAUAUUAGGUAAUUUCGUAACUUUUAUUUAGAGAAAUAAUGAAAAUAUUCUUUUGAACAUACAUUACUAAUCAAUUUGAUAGUUAGUUUAAUAAUAAGAUAUAAUAUAUGUUUCGAUAGACCAUCUAUUUUUUUAAGGAUCCUAAGCAUCAUUGUUGUAUUAAUACGUGGAUACAAAAAAAUGUUGCAAUGCUUUUCAAAUAUAUAAAUGAUUAUGUGGUUGAAAGAAAUUAGAAAAAUGCAAUGCAGUUAAGUAAUGAGGAACGAUUGAUUUUUGUUAUUAAAAGACGGAAGUCACGAACCACAUUAAUUAAAGUCAUCGAUUACUGACUGAUGACAACAUAUUUGACAAACAAUAAUAGAAGUUACAUAUAUUAACGCAUAAAGUUACAAAAUACAUAUACAUAUUUGACAAACAAUAAUAGAAGCGACGAAAUACAAACAAACACCUAAAACAAUUAAUUUUCAAAUACAGUCCAGGUUCUCCGAAAGUCGUUUGCUUUGAAAUGCUCUUUUUUAACUUAGUCAUAAACAUCUUCAUCUUUAUAACAUUAAUUAUUUCUUUUAUGAACUGGUUUGCCUUUUUUUCUUCAUGAUAUUGGGUUCAAUAGUUCCAACUUUUGCCUUUUGAAUUGUGUAAAUCUAUUUCACUAUUUGUUGACCAUUUGCAAUUCUUGCUUUUCUUUCAUCAUAUCAUUUUUUGUUGUAUACAUUUCCCUUGAAUGAUGACUAACUUAUACAAAAUUGGAAUCACUUGCAUCAUUUUCGUGGAUUCUUUUAAACCCACUUCUGCCUGACUACAAGAACAUAUUUAAUCACAGAUGAUGACGAGCCCCAUUCCAACAUGUUGAAAUGUAUAGUCUUGGCACUUGAACAUAGCUCAUGCGUUUUUUUUGUCAAUAUAUCAUUAUUCUCUGAUCAUCCAUUUUGUUACAUAGACUUUGCUAUUGUCAGUGCCAACCAUUAUUCCGAUAGUUUUUUCAUGUGGUGUAGUAAUUUUUCUAAACGAAGCAAUUACUGUUCUCUAACAAUUUUGAAAACCAACCAAUGCUAACGUCCAUAUAUAUUUUCCGCAGCCUGCACAACAGGAUUAUCAGAACGUAAAUCUCCUGAAUUUCUUUAAGUUCUAGUACCUUAUAAAAUUCUACUAACAAUUUGAUAUCUUUUUAGAUGGUGUAAAUGUAAUAACAUAAGUUGGCUAGAAACUAACCUCCCAAAAAUAGAGGUAUCAUGCAAAUGCUAUAAACACGAGUGGAACAAGUCUUAUGCCUAACAAUUGAACGCUAAUUUCCCAAAAUUAAAGUAACCUAGCUAAUACUUCCUUAAAAAUGGGUCAAACAUUCUAAAAAAUGAGAAGUUGGGAGAAAGUAUGGGCCUUCAACAUAUCUCUCCAUUUAACGCACUAUAUAAAGCAGCAGGUGCGUAGUAAAAAUCUCAGAAAACAAAAAUUAAAAGACAAUAAAAAAUAAAAAUAAAUAAAUAAAUAUGGGUUCAUAUUUGGGAAUCUAUACAAUUUUGGUUCUAUGUUUGCUAGGAUAUUCAGCCAAUGCUGAGGUGUUCACCGCUGGUGGUCCUCCAAAUUCUGAUAUUACCGCGGUUAGUAUCUUCACUUGUUUUUUAUUACUUGAAUUCCAAUCAAUGUGUAAACCAUUUCUUAUAUUAACAUACUCGUGGGAGCUAUUGUUGCAGGCAGUUCUUAAAGCAUUCACAUCGGCAUGUCAAGCUCCGGCACCAAGCCAGGUGCUGAUCCCAAAAGGUGACUUCAAGCUUGGUGAGACCGUGAUGACUGGUCCAUGCAAAUCUCCAAUCGAGUUCACCUUGCAAGGCAACGUGAAAGCUGACGGUGGCUCUACCCAGGGAAAGGAUAGAUGGGUUGUGUUCGAAAAAAUUAAUGGUUUUAAGUUGAACGGAGGUGGAACAUUUGACGGUGAAGGCAAUGCAGCUUGGAAAGCCAAUAACUGCCACAAGACUUUUGAGUGCAAGAAACUUCCCAUCGUAUGUGUUUAUGUCUUUAAUAUAUUAACACCAAUGGCUUUUUUAAAGAUGAUAUAAUUCAGUGAUGCAUGCUAUCUUUCAGAGCAACUGCCACAAGACUUUUGAGUGCAAGAAACUUCCCAUCGUAGGUGUUUCCGUCUUUAAUAUAUUAACACCAAUGGCUUUUUUUAAAGAUGAUAUAAUUCAGUGAUGCAUGCUAUCUUUCAGAGUGUAAGGUUUGAUUUUGUGGAUAACGCUGAGAUAAAAGACAUAACCUCAUUAGAUGCCAAAAACUUCCACUUCAACGUUAUCAGCGGCAAGAACAUGACCUUUGAUAACAUCAAGAUCAUCGCUCCAGCUGAAAGCCCCAACACUGACGGUAUCCAUUUGGGAAGAUGUGAGGGAGUCAAGAUCCUCAACACUAAGAUCGCCACAGGAGAUGACUGCAUCUCCGUGGGAGAUGGGAUGAAGAAUCUCCUCAUUGAGAAAGUUGUGUGCGGUCCAGGACACGGAAUCAGUGUUGGAAGCCUUGGAAGGUACGGAUGGGAGCAAGAUGUCACUGACAUUAACGUUAAGAACUGUACCCUUGAGGGAACCGACAACGGUCUGAGGAUCAAGACAUGGCCAUCUGCCGCUUGCACCACCACCGCUGCCGGUAUUCAUUUUGAGGAUAUCAUCCUUAACAAAGUUAGCAACCCAAUCCUCAUCGACCAGGAGUACUGCCCUUGGAACCAAUGCAACAAGAACGUAAGUAUCUUUUAUUAGAUUCUAUGUCUUGCCACUAUCACCGUAUUCUAUGAAAUUGGAUGGCUCAGCAAACAUAUUAUUCUGAUGGUUUUCUAGAUAUUUAGCAUUCACCAUUUUGGUUGAGGUUACAUAUAUAUGAUUAUGAUCCCAAAGUUUUUUUUCUAUUUGCAGAAACCAUCAACAAUUAAGCUGGUGGACAUUACCUUCAGGAAUAUUAGAGGAACAUCAGGGAACAAGGACGCAGUGAAACUAUUGUGCAGCAAGGGACAUCCAUGUGAGAACGUUGAGAUUGGAGACAUUAACAUUGAGUACACAGGACCUGACGGUCCACCCACUUUCGAGUGCACAAACGUCACACCUAAGCUUGUGGGAACCCAGAACCCAAAGGCUUGCGUUGGACCUGUGGUCAAGGCUCCUGGCAAAGAGUAAAAUGUUGAAGCUCAUAUCAACACAUUAGGGCUUCCACAUCCAAUUUUGUUUAUUCUUUUUCUAAUUCUUUUUCAAGUCACGUAAGGAGACUUUUACAAAGCUGUAACAAAAAAAUGUUUCUAUCGAUGCCAACACAUAAUGUGUGAGUGCAUUAUGAUUUAAUAAAACUAAAAAGAUUUAUCUAUC